rnacentral:rRNA from 1 species
GACGAACGCUGGCGGCGUGCCUAAUACAUGCAAGUUGAGCGCUGAAGGUUGGUACUUGUACCAACUGGAUGAGCAGCGAACGGGUGAGUAACGCGUGGGGAAUCUGCCUUUGAGCGGGGGACAACAUUUGGAAACGAACGCUAAUACCGCAUAAAAACUUUAAACACAAGUUUUAAGUUUGAAAGAUGCAAUUGCAUCACUCAAAGAUGAUCCCGCGUUGUAUUAGCUAGUUGGUGAGGUAAAGGCUCACCAAGGCGGUGAUACAUAGCCGACCUGAGAGGGUGAUCGGCCACAUUGGGACUGAGACACGGCCCAAACUCCUACGGGAGGCAGCAGUAGGGAAUCUUCGGCAAUGGACGAAAGUCUGACCGAGCAACGCCGCGUGAGUGAAGAAGGUUUUCGGAUCGUAAAACUCUGUUGGUAGAGAAGAACGUUGGUGAGAGUGGAAAGCUCAUCAAGUGACGGUAACUACCCAGAAAGGGACGGCUAACUACGUGCCAGCAGCCGCCGUAA